rnacentral:rRNA from 1 species
GAUGAACGCUGGCGGCGUGCCUAAUACAUGCAAGUCGAGCGAACAGACGAGGAGCUUGCUCCUCUUACGUUAGCGGCGGACGGGUGAGUAACACGUGGAUAACCUACCUAUAAGACUGGGAUAACUUCGGGAAACCGGAGCUAAUACCGGAUAAUAUAUUUAACCGCAUGGUUCAAUAGUGAAAGACGGUUUUGCUGUCACUUAUAGAUGGAUCCGCGCCGCAUUAGCUAGUUGGUAAGGUAACGGCUUACCAAGGCAACGAUGCGUAGCCGACCUGAGAGGGUGAUCGGCCACACUGGAACUGAGAAACGGUCCAGACUCCUACGGGAGGCAGAAGUAGGGAAUCUUCCGCAAUGGGCGAAAGCCUGACGGAGCAACGCCGCGUGAGUGAUGAAGGUCUUCGGAUCGUAAAACUCUGUUAUUAGGGAAGAACAAAUGUGUAAGUAACUAUGCACGUCUUGACGGUACCUAAUCAGAAAGCCACGGCUAACUACGUG